CUUUUCUGAAGUCAUCAUUCAAGUCCCAAAUUGUUUUUCUCCUGUCUUCAUACUGCUGCUCUCUGUCUGUAUACUGCUGCUCUCUCCUGUCUGUAUACUGCUGCUCUCUCUGUAUACUGCUGCUCUCUCUGUCUGUAUACUGCUGCUCUCUCCUGUCUGUAUACUGCUGCUCUCUGUCUGGCCUCUGGCAUCUUGCUAGGUUUUGUUAGGAAUGCUAUUAUCUCUUUUCUGCACCUCAUAGGUUUCCUUCAAACUGAGAUCCUUUCUAGAGAAUUAAGCUCUUCUUUGGGGUUCGUGUUUCCUCUGCCUUCCUCAUCCCCUUAUGUUGGUGGCUGGUGUGUGUGUGUGUG
rnacentral:lncRNA from 1 species